CUGGAGCCCUAGUUGAGGCUUAAGUUCACUAUCCGUACGUUGCUUCAUUUCCCCGAUCAAAACCAUUGAAUCUGCUUCGUUGUAUUGUAAUUCUCUCUGCAAGACGAAUACCACACAGUGAUAGAUGGAUCAGAUUCAGUACUCUGAGAAGUACUUCGACGACAUUUAUGAGUACAGGCACGUGGUUCUCCCACCCGAAGUGGCUAAGUUGCUUCCUAAGAAUCGUCUGCUAUCGGAAGUAAGCAAUUUUGUUUUCUUAGUUUCAAAUUUAUGUGUCUCGAUUUUGUUACGAAAGGAAGUAUUAUCUGAUUGAUUGGGAAGAAACUUAGUUCAGUAGUUGAAUUCUUAUUUCCGGUUUAGGUAUCACUCUUGAGAGACCCUAUGAAAUAGAUAUUAUUCCGUGGACAGUUUUUCCCCUAUUUCUAAUCUUUUAUAUUUUCAUAUGAUCUUGAUAUUCUCUCUUUGAUUUGGCUGAUGGUUGCAUGAAGUUGAAACAAUGUUUUUGAGUA